rnacentral:rRNA from 1 species
UGGGGAAUAUUGCACAAUGGGCGCAAGCCUGAUGCAGCCAUGCCGCGUGUAUGAAGAAGGCCUUCGGGUUGUAAAGUACUUUCAGCGGGGAGGAAGGGAGUAAAGUUAAUACCUUUGCUCAUUGACGUUACCCGCAGAAGAAGCACCGGCUAACUCCGUGCCAGCAGCCGCGGUAAUACGGAGGGUGCAAGCGUUAAUCGGAAUUACUGGGCGUAAAGCGCACGCAGGCGGUUUGUUAAGUCAGAUGUGAAAUCCCCGGGCUCAACCUCGGAACUGCAUCUGUUACUGGCAAGCUUGAGUCUCGUAGAGGGGGGUAGAAUUCCAGGUGUAGCGGUGAAAUGCGUAGAGAUCUGGAGGAAUACCGGUGGCGAAGGCGGCCCCCUGGACGAAGACUGACGCUCAGGUGCGAAAGCGUGGGGAGCAAACAGG